rnacentral:rRNA from 1 species
GUGCCAGCCGCCGCGGUAAUACGGAGGGUGCAAGCGUUAUCCGGAUUCAUUGGGUUUAAAGGGUGCGCAGGCGGAUACUUAAGUCAGUGGUGAAAUCCCGGGGCUCAACCCCGGAACUGCCAUUGAUACUGAAUAUCUGGAAUACGGUUGAAGUGGGCGGAAUGUAGCAUGUAGCGGUGAAAUGCAUAGAGAUGCUACAGAACACCGAUCGCGAAGGCAGCUCACUAAGCCGAUAUUGACGCUCAGGCACGAAAGCGUGGGGAGCGAACAGGAUUAGAUACCCUGGUAGUCCACGCCGUAAACGAUGAUAACUCGUUGUUGGCGACACACAGUCAGCGACUAAGCGAAAGCGAUAAGUUAUCCACCUGGGGAGUACGAUCGCAAGGUUGAAACUUAAAUGAAUUGACGG